CAAGGAAUUACCAACUCAGUCAAACAAACAGUAAACAACAGCCCUUCAGGAACCACCAAGACCACUUCCACCAACACUGACAGGGAAAGCCUUUGUUCUCUUCAAGUAGACUCCAUGUGAACCCAACAACAAUAUCACUGGCAUUUGAUUUGUUUGGGGCACUACAGGUUUAUCCUUUAAAUCUACAUUGCAUUGUUAUAGAUGAAUAGAUGAACUUCUGCCACAACAGUAAUACAAUUCAUUUUGACCUGGGACCCUCUGCUCUUGCAAACUGAUCAAAAGUAGCAGAUACGCAGAGAAGAGACAUCUGGAAUGCCUAUGAAUCUGCCUGGAUCCUGCAUGGAUGUAUGGAGGAAGGCUUGGAAUCUCAGAUCAGGAAGACCUGGAUCCCCAUGGUGUUCCAUCUGCUUAUAACCCCCUGCCUACAUGGUGAAAUUUCACAAGAAAGUGAAGACCAUAUUAGGUAAGCAGGUGUUUGUGGAUGACUUUGGUUUUUCUUGACU